UGAGGAAUAUUGGUCAAUGGACGGAAGUCUGAACCAGCCAAGUAGCGUGCAGGAUGACGGCCCUCUGGGUUGUAAACUGCUUUUAGUUGGGAAUAAAAAAGAGGACGUGUCCUCUAUUGUAUGUACCUUCAGAAAAAGGACCGGCUAAUUCCGUGCCAGCAGCCGCGGUAAUACGGAAGGUCCAGGCGUUAUCCGGAUUUAUUGGGUUUAAAGGGAGCGUAGGCGGAUUAUUAAGUCAGUGGUGAAAGACGGUGGCUCAACCAUCGUUAGCCAUUGAAACUGGUAGUCUUGAGUGCAGACAGGGAUGCUGGAACUCGUGGUGUAGCGGUGAAAUGCUUAGAUAUCACGAUGAACUCCGAUCGCGAAGGCAGGUGUCCGGGCUGCAACUGACGCUGAGGCUCGAAAGUGUGGGUAUCAAACAGGAUUAGAUACCCUGGUA
rnacentral:rRNA from 1 species